GUUCCUGUAGUUAAAGUUUUAUAAUAACGGUUUUUCAUACCGUAGUUCUUGGGGAGGAUCCAAGCAGGAACC